GUACGCGAAAGGAUCUUAGAAGUGAAAUCGAGUAGGACGGGGCACGAGAAACCUUGUCAAUAUGGGGGGACCAUCCUCCAAGGCUAAAUACUACUGACUGACCGAUAGUGAACUAGUACCGUGAGGGAAAGGCGAAAAGAACCCCGGAGAGGGGAGUGAAAUAGAUCCUGAAACCGUAUGCGUACAAGCAGUGGGAGCCUACUUUGUUAGGUGACUGCGUACCUUUUG
rnacentral:rRNA from 13 species